rnacentral:rRNA from 1 species
UACGAAGGGGGCAAGCGUUGUUCGGAAUUACUGGGCGUAAAGGGCGCGUAGGCGGCUUAUCAAGUCAGGCGUGAAAUUCCCGGGCUCAACCUGGGGGCUGCGCUUGAUACUGAUUGGCUUGAAUGCGGGAGAGGAUAGUGGAAUUCCCAGUGUAGAGGUGAAAUUCGUAGAUAUUGGGAAGAACACCGGUGGCGAAGGCGGCUAUCUGGACCGACAUUGACGCUGAGGCGCGAAAGCGUGGGGAGCAAACAGG